rnacentral:rRNA from 1 species
AGUGAACGCUGGCGGUAGGCCUAACACAUGCAAGUCGAACGGCAGCACAGGAGAGCUUGCUCUCUGGGUGGCGAGUGGCGGACGGGUGAGGAAUACAUCUGAAUCUACUUUUUCGUGGGGGAUAACGUAGGGGAACUUACGCUAAUACCGCAUACGACCUACGGGUGAAAGCAGGGGACCUUCGAGCCUUGCGCGAUUGAAUGGGCCGAUGUCGGAUUAGGUAGUUGGCGGGGUAAAGGCCCACCAAGGCGACGAUCCGUAGCUGGUCUGAGAGGAUGAUCAGCAACACUGGAACUGAGACACGGUCCAGACUCCUACGGGAGGCAGCAGUGGGGAAUAUUGGACAAUGGGCGCAAGCCUGAUCCAGCCAUACCGCGUGGGUGAAGAAGGCCUUCGGGUUGUAAAGCCCUUUUGUUGGGAAAGAAAUCCAGCUGGCUAAUACCCGGUUGGGAUGACGGUACCCAAAGAAUAAGCACCGGCUAACUUCGUGCCAGCCGCCGCGGUAA